AUGGAUCAUUAUGUAUUGCUGCAUAAAUUCGAAGUUCUAACCUUGUUUUACUUUUCUAAAAGGGAUGGCUACAACGAUUUCAAUACAUUCUACAUACAGGCUGCAUCUGGUACUAAAGGUGGCUCUAGUGGUUCCCCUGUUGUUGAUUGCCAAGGAAGAGCUGUUGCACUGAAUGCAGGAAGCAGCAGUUCCAGUGCUUCGGCCUUCUACCUUCCAUUAGACGGUGUAGUUAGAGCACUCAAUCUGAUACGUGGCUGUUGGGACACAUUUGGUAGCAAGCCAGAAUCUGCUUAUAUUCCUCGUGGUACACUUCAGGUGACUUUUCAACACAAAGGUUUCGAAGAAACUUGA
rnacentral:rRNA from 1 species